GAUUCAAACGUCAUAUUCUCAAAGAAAACGAAUAUAGCCCGGAAGCUAAACAGAGAUAUAACAAGUAAUUAUAUCUGUCUUCGUAGUUUAUAUUUCACGUAAAAAAGUAAAUUUAUUAAAACUAGGGUUUUAAAUUUUUUUUUUCAGAAUCUGGAAUGCUUAUUACACUUUAAAAACAUUUUAUUAUGGUUUUCUGAUAUAUUUGAUAAUUUUAAUAUUAAAAUAUAUCUUUUAUUAAUUUAAUUUUACGUUUAAAAAAGAGUUAUUAAACAAUGAAGGUUUUUUUUAUGAAAAUAAAAAUUGUUUUCACAAGAAAUUUCGAUUAGUUUUAUUACCGCAUAGCAGAAUAUAUUGUUAUUAUUAUUAUAAUAUUAUAAAAAAAAAAAAUUAUUUUUCUUUUGUACAUUAUAUGCUAUUAUAAAUGAUAAGAAUUGACGCUUAUAAAUGAUAAUAAAUGGUAAAUAAUUAAAUAGGCAUAAUAUAUUUUCUUUGAUAACAUUUGUUUAAUAUUGUACCGACUUUCUCGUUUUUCUUGCCUUAUUCCCGGUUUUUUUCAUGGCUUUUCACAUUGUCUGGGAAAAAUCUUGGGACAAUCGAAAAGUGAUCUCGUUUAUGUACCUCUCUAGUAAGAUUUUCUUUCAGAAAUUGUACUAUCAUUGUAAAUUCGAGAAAAAUAUCUGGUAGAAAAGUUUCCUACAGGAAAAAAGUGAUAUUUUACUAAUGUUUUUCUCAAUUUUUCACGAUUUGUCCCUUUUAAUAAGAAAAUUUCUUAAUCUAAUUAAAGAAAAUUUAAAAAUAACCUCCCCAAAUUACCAUGGUGAUAAUAUUACCUUUCAAAAUUUAAGCAACACUUGAUAAGUCGGAGGAGGGUGUUUUGGUAGAAAAGUUUCCACAACAAAUCUAGAGGUAUUUUGCGAUUAAAUUAGUCCGACCAAGCGAUGGUUUGGGUCUCUAGAUAUACACAAAAUGCUUUUGUUUUAUACUUGAUUAGGUAAAAGGAGAAGAAAAUACGAAACAUAUUUUGGAACCUAUUCGUGACCUUUUCGAGACUUUUUCGAGACCUGUCUCCAAAACAAUAAGUCUAUCGUGGCCACAAUUCGAACACGAUUCGAAUUUCUUUUACGUGCAAUUGUUCCCAACCGCCGAUCGAGUUUUAAAUGGAUUAUGGAUGUUCGGAAACAUGGUAAUGAGGCCCCAUCGAUUCCUAGACGUAUUCCCCAUAUAAAGACACUAAAUAAUGCGUUUUUUUUUUGUCAAAAUUGGAAUAAUUGGAUCUUAUUUUUUUGAAAACGAAAUAGGCCAUAGAGUUACGGUGAAUUGUGAACGUAACGUUGCUAUGCUCUAAGAUUUUUCCCCCUGCUUGGAGGAAAAUGAAAUAGACACUGAAAAUAUUUGGUUUCAACAGGACGGCGCCACUGCUUGUUUCAUUUUUAAAUUUUAAAAUCGAUCGGUGGUUGGGAACAAACGCGAAGAAAGUCCGGAUCGCGUACGGAUUACGCGUUGUGUAGCCACGAUUGACUCAUUGUUUCGAAAAUAUGUCUCUACGGCGAACUAAAGAUUUUUGUUACGCCAUUGUGAUAUUUUGACUUAACUUUCUGUUACGUACUAUACAAUGCGAAGUUCGGAAAUAUUGUUUGACGCCCCUCUUCUAAAGCUUAUCUCAAAGGGGCUGUUUUUGCUCCGGCACUCUGUAUAACUAUUCAGCCACGACAAAUAUACAUUAUGUAAGACAAUAUUUAAUUAUACUAUUAUGACAUAUGUUUUUAUGCAGUUAAAGUUUUUGUUUUAAUGCAUGUAUUUUUUUUCAAAAAAAACUGAAAUUCCAUACAAAAAUGAUAGUGUACAAAAAUUAUUUUGUCACUCCCUAGCGUUAUGUAUCACUCGCUGAAAUAUUAAUUUUUUUAAAAACCCAAUAUAAUUCAAUAACUAAAACUAGAAGAGUGUGCCUGUUUGAAGAGAUUUUCAUUUUAGGGAGGUUAUAAUAGUAAAUAAAUUUAAGAAUUCGACUUCUAUUUCCGGUGACAUUCGAUGUCUAAAUGUCACGAAAUUCGCAGAAGUUCAUAUUUCGAGUCUCUAUGAAUUUUUUUAAUAUAAUAUUACAACAAAUAAAAAAAUUGAGAAAAAAAUAAUAGCAUUAUUUUCAUAAAUUUCCCAUUUUUUUGCGGUUUGUCCUCGUUUUUUUCCAGAUAUUAUAAAAACCGCAUGGAUAUUAAAAAAUAACCUUCAAAAAGUACCAUCAGGACAAUAUUCCCCUUCAGAUAUGAUGGCGAGCGUAUAAAUCAGAGCAAGAUUUCUGGUAGAAUAAUCGUACAAAUUAUAUAAAAAAAAAAAAUAAAUUAGAUAACACAUUAUUAAAAUCAAUAAAUUCAUCGCUACACUCAGAAUCUAAAUUAAGCU